rnacentral:rRNA from 1 species
CCAGCCCGCUCAGAAACUCAAAGGAAGUUGACGGGGCCCGCACAAGCGGUGGACGCAUGUGGUUUAAUUCGAUGAUACGCGAGGAACUUACCUGGGCGCAAAUGUAUGUUGACGUAUUCUGAAAGGGAUACUUCUUCGGACAAUAUACAAGGUGCUGCAUGGUUGUCGUCAGCUCGUGCCGUGAGGUGUCGGGUUAAGUCCCAUAACGAGCGCAACCCUAUCAUUAGUUGCCAUCAGGUCAAGCUGGGGACUCUAAUGAAACUGCCUACGCAAGUAGUGAGGAAGGUGGGGAUGACGUCAAAUCAGCACGGCCCUUACGUCCAGGGCUACACACGUGCUACAAUGGCCGGUACAAAGGGCAGCUACCUGGUGACAGGAUGCUAAUCUCAAAAGCCGGUCUCAGUUCGGAUCGGAGUCUGCAACCCGACUCCGUGAAGCUGGAAUCGCUAGUAAUCGUGGAUCAGCAUGCCACGGUGAAUACGUUCCCGGGCCUU